GACGAAAAUAAAAACGAUGUCGUUCGGCACCGUCGUGUCCCUUCUCAUUUCGCAACAAAGUCUCUCUCUCUCUUCGUCGAUGGGCGUCGAAGGAGCCGAGAAGAAACCUCCCGUUCUCCGUCUACAUUUCCCGCAGUUCCUCAGUUGACCAUCAAUUUGGGAGAAAAGCUCAUGAAAGCUCGGUAGACUUUCGUCCCAAAAUUGAACUCUUCGGCUUGUAGAAGAACUGCUAGACUGAAAUGGAGAACCUCGACCUAGCCUGCAGACCAUGCUCCUAAAUGCAUCCAGCAUUGUGUUGAAAUGUCUGGAAUAUUGGACAGUUUAAUCAAUACAACUGCUCUAGUAGUACUACAGAUGUAAAAAAGAGACAUUAUCACAUUUUGUUUUAAUAGUAGUAGAUUAUAAUUUAGAGGAUAUGACCACACAGAGAGAUGGCUGGAGGUUUAGAAUUCAUAUAACCAAGCCUACCUAGUGAGUUGGCCAUGGAUACUAGUAGCUUUUGUUUAUGAAAGUUUUGGGUUGUGGAAUUUGCCUGGCUUAUGAACUUGUGAUGCUAGACUUCACUACGGUUGAAUAUUUUGCAUCUAUAUAUUUGAAAAAUUUUGUCAAGCAAGAAACACAUAAUAAUACAUAAAAUUAUGUAGCUGGGAGUUGAUGCCUAUCUGCUUUUGGUGAUGCAAAAUGCUUUGGCUGCAAAAUAGCCCCAUUAUUGAGUACCAAGUGUUUGGUAGUUAUUUGCCUUCUUUUCCCCCUAAGCUUUGUUCGUUCGAAAUCUGCAUACCAGUCUUGAUAUUGGUUGAAAGUAGUAGACCUGUUGGGCAACAUGAAUCCGUAUAUCUACU